GUCUAACUCUGGAUAACAGCUCGAGUCCAGAUCAACAUUUUCCACAGAUCUCAACUCAGUAACUAUGUGGAAGCUGGAAGACCUAAGGCAUUUAUUCUAAGACUGCAAAGCUACCAAGUCUGCAUAUUGUGACCAUGGGGCAAUACACAAUGAUUUGUAAAACAGAAAGGAAAAUGUUACCAGGAAAGAGGGUAAGGAUAAAAAUAUCUCUGCUGAUUUUGAACUGCCAGACAUAAAGGCACUUACCAGAGCAGACUGUGGAGAUGUGCACCCAAAGGAGGCCUUAAGGGCAUGCUUUGAUAUUAUUUCAGAUUCAGAGGAAUGUCUGCUUUGUGCUAAUUUGUGUAAGUGUAGUUGGCUUGCAUAUAGAC